rnacentral:tRNA from 1 species
GGUGGAUUGGCGUAAUGGCAACGCGUUAGUUUCCGGAGCUGAAGACUGCGGGUUCGAGUCCCGCAUCCAUCG